rnacentral:rRNA from 1 species
AACGAACGCUGGCGGCAUGCCUAACACAUGCAAGUCGAACGGGACCUUCGGGUCUAGUGGCGCACGGGUGCGUAACGCGUGGGAACCUGCCCUUAGGUUCGGAAUAACUCCCCGAAAGGGGUGCUAAUACCGGGUAAUGUCUUCGGACCAAAGAUUUAUCGCCUUUGGAUGGGCCCGAGUUGGAUUAGCUUGUUGGUAGGGUAAAAGCCUACCAAGGCGUCGAUCCAUAGCUGGUCUGAGAGGAAGAUCAGCCACACUGGGACGGAGACACGGCCCAGAAUAUUGGGGAAGGCAGCAGUGGCGGAUCCUGGACUAUCGGCGAAAGGAAGAACCCGCACGGCUGGGAGAGCGAUGAAGGUCGGAGAGAAGUAAAGCUCGUUUAUCCGCCAUGAUAAUGACGGUACCGGAAGAAUAAGCACCGGCUAACUUCGUG